rnacentral:rRNA from 1 species
CACCGCGGUUAUACGAGAGGCCCAAGCUGACAAAAGCCGGCGUAAAGAGUGGUUAAUAAAAACUGAACUAAAGCCGAACACCUUCAAAGCUGUUAAACGCACCCGAAGGCAGGAAGACCUUUAACGAAAGUGGCUUUAACCGUAUGAACCCACGAAAGCUAGAGAA